GGGAACCUCUCGAUUACCGCUUGCUUCCUUGCCCAUCAGUUCUUUGGAACGAACUCGAAGCCGCGGAGGAGCCAACUUGAAGGCCUAGAGUCAACAAUCAAGUAGUACAAAGAGAUUAAGGAAAGAGAGAAAGUGACCCGCUUCCUAUUAGCCCUAAACCACAGUUGGUGACCUUUCUACUCGCAGACCCUUCAGCAGUGCUGCCGCUUUGGCUGCAUUUUCCAGCUUGCUGUCCAAGAAGAAAACCAGCACCUUGCGACCACCGGACAUGAGAGGGGAGGAGAAAGCUCCAGGUCGAUGAUGGAAAGAUUUUGGGUCACCCUCACGGCGGCUUCCGCGUGCCGCAGCGAGCGGCCAGCUCCAGGUCGGGCUCGGGAGGAAACCACCCGUGAACGAUCGAGGAAAAGGAGGAAGACGAUUGCGGUAAUCCUAGAAGUUACCGAUUCA
rnacentral:lncRNA from 1 species